ensembl:lncRNA
AGUACUCUGUGUAUGUUACAUUAUACAGCCUUUUACCUUUUUGCGAAUUACACCUCAUCCGAGGAUUACAACAAGUAGCAUAUAUUUUUCUCUCCAAAUGAGUAGUUAACAGCGUAGAGUCGGCCUACGUGUUGAUGAACAGCAGUCAGGGAGAUUUAGAUCGUUAGUCUGACACAUGAACAACUCAUUAUCCCAGCGAAGCAGAAAAUGAUUCAGCGCAGGAUGUGCGUGUGUCAUUCAGCCUGAUUGGAGAGACAUGCAGCAUCGUGAGGAGAAGUAGCUUCUUGCAAAUCCUCCUAGACUACAACCACCGGAAGCCAUGACUGAUGAAAGGCUGCAUAGGCCUACAUGCAAGCGUGCAUCGUCUGGUUUACAGGUUUUCCUGUUUUAGACAAACCAGAGCACAGGCAACAGUUGGGACAUGACAUGAGCAGAAAAAGGACAACAUCACAGUGAAAGCAGUUGAGGGACAAGCGAGAAGAAAGAGCAGUAUGAGACAGG